ACUCAUUAGAGUGGACUUUUGUUAUCUCCAUUGUGCAUUUGAUAAAACUGAGGCUUAGAGAGGUAAGAAACUAGCUUUUUAAGUCAGUAAUUGGCAGCCGAGACAGCAACCCUAGAUCUGUUACAUUCAAAAGCCUCUGACCCACUCCGCAUGACUUCCCAUUCAUUCGUGUUUGCUGUAGUACUACUCUGGGAAACACCAUCUUCAUCUUCCUCUUCCUCUCCACUCAGAAACUUAGCCCUAGAUUAGCAGCGGUCUCUGCUCCCUCCAUAUGUUGAGAAAGGCCUGUUUUGCUGUCCAUGGGCAGAAGGGACCCCUUCAGAAAGCUAUUCCUUAUUGGGAAUAGCAGCUUGAGAUUUUGACUGCACGAAUAUUGCAGGACCUAAUUUUAGUAUUUAAGUUUUAGUUCUUAAAUUCUUAAGUUUAGAGUUAGAUACUCCAAUAAGGCCGUUUUCCAAAAUACCGAGAGGGAAUUAAAUGAACAUAUUUACAUUAAGAAUUUAACGUCUUUCUGGGUGAUAGGAAAAUGAAAAAAAGAAUGUAAAGUCUACAUUACUGCGAGACGAUAAUCUGGCUCCACUGCAGCCAAAGUGGGCCCUUAAAACAUAGAAUCCAUCCCUCCCGGCCCUGCCGGCCGUCUGUGCCUGCCGCCCACGUGUCCCACGUUCUGCACACCUGUAAAUCUUGGGAUGUAAUCCCUUGCUCAGCGUCGGUCCGCCCUACUGUCGGCCGGCGCUCGGGGUAGGGGCGGGAUUUGCAGUUGCGGGAAUCCCAAUUACUGUGUUCGCUGCUCAGGGCUCCUCACUUCCCCUUUAGGGUAAAGGGCGAGGGCAACAGUGGACGGGGUGUGUCUCCAGACAUCCCCCUCAUUACCGUGGCCGCGGAAGCCGACUCGGCACUUGCCGCAGCGGCUGUGGUGGCUACCGGACGGGCCACAGGCGUGCGCACGCGCACCCGCACCGGCGCGCCGGCCGUCGGUCACGUGGCCCCCGGCCAGGGCUUGCGAAGCCGGAAGUGUCCUGAGGCUCGAGGAGGGUGGGGGAGCCCGCCGGCGGUGGCGCGGCGGAGACCCGGCUGGUAUAACAAGAGGAUUGCCUGAUCCAGCCAAGAUGCAGAGCACUUCUAAUCAUCUGUGGCUUUUAUCUGAUAUUUUAGGCCAAGGAGCUACUGCAAAUGUCUUUCGUGGAAGACAUAAGAAAACUGGUGAUUUAUUUGCUAUCAAAGUAUUUAAUAACAUAAGCUUCCUUCGUCCAGUGGAUGUUCAAAUGAGAGAAUUUGAAGUGUUGAAAAAACUCAAUCACAAAAAUAUUGUCAAAUUAUUUGCUAUUGAAGAGGAGACAACAACAAGACAUAAAGUACUUAUUAUGGAAUUUUGUCCAUGUGGGAGUUUAUACACUGUUUUAGAAGAGCCUUCUAAUGCCUAUGGACUACCAGAAUCUGAAUUCUUAAUUGUUUUGCGAGAUGUGGUGGGUGGAAUGAAUCAUCUUCGAGAGAAUGGCAUAGUGCACCGUGAUAUCAAGCCAGGAAAUAUCAUGCGUGUUAUAGGGGAAGAUGGACAGUCUGUGUACAAACUCACAGAUUUUGGUGCAGCUAGAGAAUUAGAAGAUGAUGAGCAGUUUGUUUCUCUGUAUGGCACAGAAGAAUAUUUGCACCCUGAUAUGUAUGAGAGAGCAGUGCUAAGAAAAGAUCAUCAGAAGAAAUAUGGAGCAACAGUUGAUCUUUGGAGCAUUGGGGUAACAUUUUACCAUGCAGCUACUGGAUCACUGCCAUUUAGACCCUUUGAAGGGCCUCGUAGGAAUAAAGAAGUGAUGUAUAAAAUAAUUACAGGAAAGCCUUCUGGUGCAAUAUCUGGAGUACAGAAAGCAGAAAAUGGACCAAUUGACUGGAGUGGAGACAUGCCUGUUUCUUGCAGUCUUUCUCGGGGUCUUCAGGUUCUACUUACCCCUGUUCUUGCAAACAUCCUUGAAGCAGAUCAGGAAAAGUGUUGGGGUUUUGACCAGUUUUUUGCAGAAACUAGUGAUAUACUUCACCGAAUGAUAAUUCAUGUUUUUUCGCUACAACAAAUGACAGCUCAUAAGAUUUAUAUUCAUAGCUAUAAUACUGCUACUAUAUUUCAUGAACUGGUAUAUAAACAAACCAAAAUUAUUUCUUCAAAUCAAGAACUUAUCUAUGAAGGGCGACGCUUAGUCUUAGAACCUGGAAGACUGGCACAGCAUUUCCCUAAAACUACUGAGGAAAACCCUAUAUUUGUAGUAAGCCGGGAACCUCUGAAUACCAUAGGAUUAAUAUAUGAGAAAAUUUCCCUCCCUAAAGUACAUCCACGUUAUGAUUUAGACGGGGAUGCUAGCAUGGCUAAGGCAAUAACAGGGGUUGUGUGUUAUGCCUGCAGAAUUGCCAGUACCUUACUGCUUUAUCAGGAAUUAAUGCGAAAGGGGAUACGAUGGCUGAUUGAGUUAAUUAAAGAUGAUUACAAUGAAACUGUUCACAAAAAGACAGAAGUUGUGAUCACAUUGGAUUUCUGUAUCAGAAACAUUGAAAAAACUGUGAAAGUAUAUGAAAAGUUGAUGAAGAUCAACCUAGAAGCGGCAGAGUUAGGUGAAAUUUCAGACAUACACACCAAAUUGUUGAGACUUUCCAGUUCUCAGGGAACAAUAGAAACCAGUCUUCAGGAUAUUGACAGCAGAUUAUCUCCAGGUGGAUCACUGGCAGACGCAUGGGCACAUCAAGAAGGCACUCAUCCAAAAGAUAGAAAUGUAGAAAAACUACAAGUCCUGUUAAAUUGCAUGACAGAGAUUUACUAUCAGUUCAAAAAAGACAAAGCAGAACGUAGAUUAGCUUAUAAUGAAGAACAAAUCCACAAAUUUGAUAAGCAAAAACUGUAUUACCAUGCAACAAAAGCUAUGACGCACUUUACAGAUGAAUGUGUUAAAAAGUACGAGGCAUUUUUGAAUAAGUCAGAAGAAUGGAUAAGAAAGAUGCUUCAUCUUAGGAAACAGUUAUUAUCUCUGACUAAUCAGUGUUUUGAUAUUGAAGAAGAAGUAUCAAAAUAUCAAGAAUAUACUAAUGAGUUACAAGAAACUCUGCCUCAGAAAAUGUUUACAGCUUCCAGUGGAAUCAAACAUAGCAUGACCCCAAUUUAUCCAAGUUCUAACACAUUAGUAGAAAUGACUCUUGGUAUGAAGAAAUUAAAGGAAGAGAUGGAAGGGGUGGUUAAAGAACUUGCUGAAAAUAACCACAUUUUAGAAAGUGAGUCGUUCUGGAACACUCCUGGUUCUCGCUAUGGCCAUAAGAAGUGACUUUCAUGAGACCUUCAGAAGAAUAGCCCGGCUCUUUUACUGGUUCCCCAAAUCACUGACCUGCUCAAAGAAUCGGAAAUCCAAGCUGCUCUGGAGCCAAGGUGGGGAUUAUCCAGUGCCAGAUCCUCCUUUAAAAACAGAAGUGACGACUGGGCGCCGUGGCUCACGCCUGUAAUCUCAGCACUUUGGGAGGCCGAGGCAGAUGCAUUACCUGAGGUGAGGAGUUCAAGACCAGCCUGGCCAACAUGGUGAAAACCCGUCUGUACUAAAAAUACAAAAAAAUUAGCCGGGCAUGGUGACCGGUGCCUGUAAUCCCAGCUAUUCAGGAGACUGAGACAGGAAAAUCACUUGAACCUGGGAGGCAGAGGUUGCAGUGAGCCAAGAUCAUGCCUUCGUACUCCAGCCUGGGCAACAAGAGCUAAAUUUCGUCUCAAAAAAAAAAAAAAAAAAAAACAGAAGUGACUAUGAUCUAUAAUCACCAAGGGAGGUAUGUGAUUAAGACAUAUAUUUAAAAGUAUGCAGGUCAGCCAUGGUGGCUCACGCCUGUAAUCCCAGCACUUUGGGAGGCCGAGGUGGGCUGAUCACCUGAAGUCGGGAGUUCGAGACAAGCCUGACCAACAUGGAGAAACCCUGUCUCUACCAAAAAUACAAAAUUAGCUGGGUGUGGUAGCACAUGCCUGUAAUCCCAGCUACUCGGGAGGCUGAGGCAGGAGAAUUGCUUGAAAAUCCAGGAGGUGGAGGUUGCAGUGAGCUGAGAUUGCGCCAUUGCACUCCAGCCUAGGCAACAAGAGUGAAACUCCGUCUCAAAAAAAAAAAAAAAAAAAAAUGCAAUUCAUUAAAAAAAGAAAUUUAUAAAAUAUAAGGCCUAGGACAUUUUGAUCUUCUAUUUUUCUUUAAUUUUUUUCAUUCUCACUGUCAAAAUAGGGAGAAUUUAACUUAAUAGUUUAAGUCUCUGUUUAUAUGUACCAUUCUUCAGAUAUGGAUUAGCAUAAUUUGGGAUGUUAGAGCCCCAAGAGAACUUAAGAAAAAUCAUCUUCACCAAUUGCUUCAUUUUAAAGAUAAGCAAAAAGGCCGGGGGUGGUGGCACACGCUUGUAAUCCCAGCAAUUUGGGAGGCCAAGGUGGGUGGAUCACUUGAGGUCAGGAGUUUGAGACCAGCCUGGCCAACAUGGCGAAACCCCGUCUCUACUAAAAAUACAAAAAUUAGCCGGGUGUGGUGGUGGGUGCCUGUAAUCCCAGCUACUUGGGAGGCUGAGCCAGAAGAAUCGCUUGAGCCCAGGAGGUGGAGGUUGCAGUGAGCUGAGAUGGAACCACUGCACCCCAGCCUGGGCAACAGAGCAAGACUCAGUCUCAAAAAAAUAAAAAUAAGAUGAGCAAACUGCCUCCAGAAGGUUAGACACCUUAAUCUCCCAAAACUGUUACAUAGGCAGAACCAGAGCUUUAUCCCAGAUUAUCUAAUUCUUGGUCUGCUGCUCUUUUUAUCACACCACAGAGCAAUGGUGAGUAAGUAACAGAAUGUGAACAUACGAGCCCUCACUGAAUAUUUUACUUAUAGCCUUCAUCAGUAGAUAAUCUAUACCUAGAAAGUUUGAUAAUCUAUUUUUCCAAAGUAAAGCUUAUUAGUUUUCUCAUUAGUUUGGAGAUUGAUAGCCUGAUUCCACAAUCUUUUUACUUAUACACAAUAUUAUGAAAGAAAGAUUUUUUGUUGAGGCCAAGUGCAGUGGCUCAUGCCUGUGAUCCCAGAACUUUGCGAGGCUGAGGUGGGCAGAUUGCUUGAGGUCAGGAGUUCAAGACCAGCCUGGCCACCAUGGUGAAACCCCGUCUCUACUGAAACUGCAAAAAUUAGCCAGGCAUGGUGGCAGCUGCCUGUAAUCCCAGCUACUCAGGAGACUGAGGCAGGAGAAUUACUUGAAACUGGGAGGCAGAAAUUGCAGUGAGCUGAGAUCACACCUCUACACUGCAUGCAGCCUGGGCAACAGAGUGAAACUCCAUCUCAAAAAAAAAAAAAAAUUCUGUUGAAAUAUUACUCUAUCAUAAUGAGAUUAUUUAAAUAUAUGCUUUAUAGGAUUAUAUCCCCUCGAGAGCAAGAACUAUCUUUUCUUCUAUCUCCAGUGUUUAACAUAGUGUUUUGUAUGUGGGCAGUCAAUAACUAUUUGCUUUACUGAAUUGACUUAUGAAGACAGCCCUAUGGAAUUUUGAGUUAAAAAAGAAUGAAUGUAUUCUUAGAAAUCUGCUAAUGCCUGGGGAUCCUUGCUCCACCCUUCUGUGUAGACUAAUGGAUUGUGGCAACCAUCAACAUCAGAUUGUCUCUAGCGUUAAACUCUGUCACUCAUCAAUAUCCUAGAGUCAUCUAAAGAUUGGCAGAAAUAUGUCAAAGUUUCCCUAAGUACCUUCAUUCCGAUCAACCCCACUUGAAAACAUAAAUGGCCUCAGGGCAAAAUCAGUGCAUGAUAUUUUAAUACUAAUUAAGUGAAGGCUCCCAAAUGGCUUUACUCCCUGUAACAGCACAGUUUAGUUGACUCUCCUGCAGCUCUCCUCUAUCUCCCCCAGAAGACAUUAAGUUACAUCAAGGCAUGAUUUAGGAAGAAAUAUAGAAGGAUAGUCGUAAAUCUGAAUUCAGUACAUAUUUUACACUAUGGUCUUGAAGGAGGAGAAUGGGGAGGGCUGUAUGAGAAAAGCCCACAUUCCAUGGCCUGGAGCCAUUUCUAAUCUAGUUGAGGAACCCAAGCUAUAUAUAAAAAACAGAGCUCAAGAGCAUUGUAGGCUGCUGGGAAGAUCAAGGGACUUCAGAGUCAGACCUGGCUACUGAGAGCUGUGCUACUUUGAGAGCUUGUGGGACUUCAGAGUCAGACCUGGCUUGUGCUACUGAGAGCUGUGUGACUUUGAGCAAGUCACUUAGAUCUCUCUGAUGUGAGCUUUCUCGUCUGUAGAAUGUGGAGAUUGAACUUGAUCUUAAAGGUUCCUUCCAGUUUCAUAAAUGCCGUGAAACUAAGAUACAAUAAUACAAAGUGGCAGCAGAGUUGCUGAAGAGCAGCAUGGAGGAAAGUUUCUUGAUGUCAGAUAGUAUGUCACCAUGUCAUUCAUCUGCAGAAACAGGACUGGCAUUGUUAAUUGUCAUAAUAUCUGAGACCUUAUGUAAAACCCUGUUUAACGAGUUUACAUACCAAAUGCAUACAUGCUCUUUUUAAAAAACAAAUAUGAGAUCUGGUGAAACCCCGUCUCUACUAAAAAUACAAAAAUUAGCCGUACGUGGUGGCAUGCACCUGUAAUCCCAGCUACCCUGGAGGCUGAGGCAGGAGAAUCGCUGGAACCCAGGAGGUGGAGGCUGCAGUGAGCCAAGACCAUGCCAGUGCACUCCAGCCUGGGCAAUAGAGCAAGAAUCUGUCUCAAAAACAAAACAAAGCAAAUUUGAGAUCUAGACUCUCCAUAUAUAGGAUGAGCCCUAAGUUUUAGGCUCCUGCUUAUGGAAACUGGCCUCCUUUUCUGUGUAACCUGUUCCAGGGCACUUGGGGGUUCCCAGCAGUCAUCUUGGUCAUUUAAUUUCUGUGGUAAAGACAUCACUUUCACAGCCUAGCUCUUCAUUUCUUUUCCAAAUCAUUACUAAUGCCCAAUCAAACAUUGUUUCCAGGACACCCCCUUGAAAACAAAAGCCUAUCCUAUUAAUUUAUUUUUAAAAAUAUUUUUUCAGCUCCUUUUCAUCAUGACUUAUAAGAUAACCAAACUCUCAGCAUAGUCAGAAAAUCAGAGCUAGAAGACCUAGCUGUUUUCAGACAGUCUCUUUACACUAACAGUUUUCUCUGGUUCUCCGUUUCACCCCUUCCUGCCCCAUGUUUUGGCAGUUAAUGAGAUGUGAUGACUGAAUGAAAGUCUAUUGCUUCCUGUAAGGAGGCAGAUGUAAGCACAUCUGGACAACACAGAAACCCACCUCUCACCACAGGGAAGAAGAGAAAGGAGGGGGGCUGCUUAUUAGACAGCACCCCACUUGUCUCCAGCAUUGUAUGGCUUUCUCAAGGACACCCAUGUAGAUCAGAAGCCCUGAGAGAGAGAACCACCAUGGAAGAACCGGCAGAGGAACACUCUAGCAUGGAUGCUCUGGUGUCUUGUCUGUUGGCGGGUAGGGUGUACCCUCCUAGUAGAAUGUAUUCUCUGUGCAUCAGUGGGGCAAUAGGCUAAUGGACAAGAUGACAUCACAAAAUCUGUUCUAUAUUUAGUGGCCUAUAAAAGCAAAUGAUCAGCCGGGCACAGUGGCGCAUGCCUUUAGUCCUAACUACUCAGGAGGCAGAAGGGUCACUUGAGCCCAGAAGUUCAAGUCCAGCCUGAGCAACAUGGUGAGGGCCCCAUCUCUGAAAAAAAAAAAGGCAAAUUUUCUGUGUCUCUAAGCGAGAGGGAGACAGCUCGAAACAAAUAUGAAACUAUCACUGUAAAAGUCUACUUAUUUUUCCUCUGCAAGGAGAGAGGAGAAAGUUUAGAUGCAGAAAAAAUAUUUUCAUGCACAGAGUUCUUACUAAUGGUUUAACGAUAACUCAGAUCCUUGACAAUAUUAUCAAGCCAUUGUAAUACAAAAAAAAAACAAUAGUUAUUAGUCCCUGAAAUACAAAAGCAAAGGAUAGAGAGGGGUCUCCUACAUUAAAUAACAUUCUCUCUGCUUAAGGCAGACAAUCUAGCCCGUUUUAUUCUGAGGCACUGCUCUAAUGAGCAAUCUUACUCAUAUCAAUGUUCCUCAAAGUGUUCACUACAACUUUAAAUCAUCUUCAAUAAAGUUAUAUCAGAAAGUAGCAUAAGUUUAUUGGAAGACAAUGACAAUCCCAUGAGAAAUUGGCUGAUGGUUGGUCAAAAAUAAAGACAUUGCUUCUAAGUGUUCCUGCCCUCAUCCGUAAAGUGAAGCUGUCCCAACUGCUGACCCAAGAAUCAGCAGUCUCCCAGAAGGUGAAAUGUAUAAACAGAAGCUCUCCCGAAGCAAAUUAUUCAAGCAUAGACAGGGCUGAGAAAUGUUCUCAGAGGCUAACAACAUAUAACAUAUUGGACAAGCAGCUAAAAGACAGGAGAGUUGAUAAAAGCCAGAUUUCAGGCUGGGUGCAGUGGCUCACACCUGUAAUGUCAGCACUUUGGGAGACCGAGGCAGGUGGAUCAUCUGAGGUCAGGAGUUCGAGACCAGCCUGGCUAACAUGGCAAAACCCGUCUGUACUAAAAAUACAAACACCAAAAGUAGCCAGUCAUGGUGGUGGGCACCUGUAAUCCCAGCUACUCAGGAGGCUGACGCAGAAGAAUUGCUUGAACCCAGGAGGCGAAAGUUGCAGUGAGCUGAGAUCAUGCCACUGCCCUCCAGCCUGGGCAACAGAGCAUGACUCCAUCUCAAAAAAAAAAAAAAAAAAACAGCCAGAUUUCACCAGAAGAUACCAAAGUCUGAUUAGAACUCCCAAAUCUCAGGAGAUAUAUAAUAACCUAACACCAAAGGGCCAAAGGAGAUUGUGAUCAACAUCCAUAUUCAAUGCAAAUCCUAUGCAGCUGGAGACAGAGAGGCCUUGGGCAGGUGAGACAUAACGGGUCUCAGAUAUGCACAUUAUUACUGAGGCAAGGCUCCCCUCCCAGUUGCAGCAGCAAGGCUCAAAUCUCAAGAACCUCCAAAUUGUUCUAGUCCAAUCAGCCUAAGCCCCCGGAGACAAACCUGUAGACCAUGCAACCACGGAGAGACCUCACACCAGAGGAACUGUGCGGUAUCUUAUCGAAGGAAAUUACAGAGCUCUUCUAGGAUUUGGAAGAAGGGUGGAAUUUAAGGUUUUGUUUGUUUGGUUGAUUGGUUGGUUUUUGAGACGGAGUCUCGCUCUGUCACCCAGGCUGGAGUGCAAUGGCAGGAUCUCGGCUCACUGCAACUUCUGCCUCCCGGGUUCAAGCAAUUCUCCUGCCUCAUCCUCCUGAGUAGCUGGGAUUUCAGGAGCACGCCACCAUG